rnacentral:other from 1 species
GCAGGGCUGCGGGGUGCGUUAGGGCUAUACGACCCGGGGGCCUAUAAGAUCCGCUUGGGAGCUGUCCCUGGCCGGGAUCCUGGUUCCGGACACACGGCGCCCACCUACAUCAUUGUAGGGACCACGCGGGUUCGUCCGCCGCGACGGCCUUCGCGGCUCUGCA